AUAGUUGAUUCUUCUUCUCUAAGUAGAAUCUCAGUCUUGAGAACUUAGAUCAACUCUUUAAUCUAGACUGCGAGAUCAACUCUUUGAUCUACAGCCUUCUUCUUCUUCUCCUUGUUCUUCACUGUAGAUGGAUAGCACCUCUACUCUUGGUAUGUGGAAAGUGGGACGCCCAACCCUGGGGCAUGGAAGAGAAAAGAGGG
rnacentral:lncRNA from 1 species